GGUGGUGUGCAAUAAUGGAAGGGGUGAGAUGGGACCGAGUGGCAGGGCGUGGGAGAGGACGAACAUGACUUUGUCGGUUGUUUUUAGUGUUCAGAUCGAUUGUUAAUCCUCAUCAUCUGUUGUUUCCCACUCAUCCCUUUAGUUUCUCUCUCUUCUUUCUCUCUCUUCUUUUACUUCUCUCUCUCUCUCUCUCUCUCUAUCUUAGCUUCAUCACAAGCAACCAAGCUGUCUCUUGUUGGAUACUUAGUUGGCUGUUGGAACCACUGCAACACACUCUCUCCCAUAAACACACACACACUCACACACACACACAGUUCCCCACUAAUUUUUUUUCAAGAUUUCGUGAAAUUUAGCAACCCUUUUUCUCUGUGUGUUCAUUAAUUAAUUAAAUUUUGUGUUUUUUUUAAGGUUUUAUUAUUUAAGGGUGGUGGGUGAUUUCAUUAGUUAGUUAGUUAGUUAGUUAUGGUUGUCUUGAUGGGGUUGUAUUGUUCUUUCUCUUUCUUUCUGCCGUUUUGAU
rnacentral:lncRNA from 1 species